rnacentral:rRNA from 1 species
AGAGGAAGUAAAAGUCGUAACAAGGUUUCCGUAGGUGAACCUGCGGAAGGAUCAUUAGAAGAAUCUGUACUAAGCUUCGUCGUAAGCCCAGAGCUACAAUUCUAACACACUCUGCGUACCUUUCCUGUUGCUUCCGUGGGGCCGGGUUCGUGCACGUUCGGGCACGUUCCCCAGAUGCUUCGUUGCUACCUGUCAGUCUUUCUGCUGGCUUGUCCCUCCGGGAGGUUACAAACCAUUUGUAUUUAUUUUGCCUUCUGUCUGAAUCAUGUUAAUAACAAUCGUUAAAACUUUCAACAACGGAUCUCUUGGUUCUCGCAUCGAUGAAGAACGCAGCGAAAUGCGAUAAGUAGUGUGAAUUGCAGAAUUCAGUGAAUCAUCGAAUCUUUGAACGCACAUUGCGCCUCCUGGUAUUCCGGGAGGCAUGCCUGUUCGAGCGUCAUGAGAAGAUAUUUCAAGCUCUUUUUUGCUUGGUCCUGAAGGUUGAGUGUUGCUCUUGUACUCAUUCACCUUUGAAAUUUACAGGCGGACUGCAUCGUGUUCCUUUUGGCGUUAUAGGAUAACUCUUUCGCUUGGACUCGGUGGCCUGUCCUGCCUCAAAACCCUAUUUUGACGUUUGACCUCGGAUCAGGUAGGGAUACCCGCUGAACUUAAGCAUAUC